rnacentral:lncRNA from 1 species
AGGAAUUUGCCCCCCAAACAGUGUGCCCUGAUAUCCAACCCGAAGAAGUGAAACUGCUGUGGGUCUGGAGAGGUGAAGCCCCGUGGCCAGCUUCUGUCGCUGCCAUCUGCCAUUGCUUUUUGUUCCCUUGCUUUUGGUUUUGCAAGCAUGGCCUCUGUCUCUGUCUGAUCUGC